CCGUUUCGUUACCAGUUUUCAGAAAAUUCUUCACUUUCAUCUUCCGCGAACUGUGAGAAAGCAUAGAAAAAGACAGUAACACAUGUGACAGAUCCAUCUAUUCUAUUCAAAAUGUCUGAUCCCUCAUUUCCCUCAUUUCCCUCCAAAUCACAUCAAUUCUUAUUGCCCUC
ensembl:ncRNA R107.10 ncRNA